UAGGUGGCAAGCGUUGUCCGGAUUUACUGGGUGUAAAGGGCGUGUAGGCGGGAAGACAGGUCAGAUGUGAAAUGUCGGGGCUCAACCCCGGAACUGCAUUUGAAACCGUUUUUCUUGAGUAUCGGAGAGGCAGGCGGAAUUCCUAGUGUAGCGGUGAAAUGCGUAGAUAUUAGGAGGAACACCAGUGGCGAAGGCGGCCUGCUGGACGACAACUGACGCUGAGGCGCGAAAGCGUGGGGAGCAAA
rnacentral:rRNA from 1 species